rnacentral:rRNA from 1 species
GAUAAACGCUGGCGGCGCACAUAAGACAUGCAAGUUGAACGGACUUAAUCGAAAUAUUUAUAUUUUGAAGCGGUUAGUGGCGGACUGGUGAGUAACGCGUAAGGAACCUGCCUAUUAGAGGGGAAUAACAGUGAGAAAUCAUUGCUAAUACCGCAUAUGCCAUAGAUAUCACAUGAUAACAGUGGGAAAGGAGCAAUCCGCUAAUAGAUGGCCUUGCGUCUGAUUAGAUAGUUGGUGGGGUAACGGCCUACCAAGUCGACGAUCAGUAGCCGGACUGAGAGGUUGAACGGCCACAUUGGGACUGAGAUACGGCCCAGACUCCUACGGGAGGCAGCAGGCGGGAAUAUUGCGCAAUGGAGGAAACUCUGACGCAGUGACGCCGCGUAUAGGAAGAAGGUUUUCGGAUUGUAAACUAUUGUCGUUAGGGAAGAGAAAGGACAGUACCUAAGGAGGAAGCUCCGGCUAACUACGUG